rnacentral:tRNA from 1 species
CCAGCAUUGGUGUAGCGGUAGCACAUCAGUCUUCCAAACUGAGAGCGCGAGUUCGAGUCUCGUAUGCUGGUCCA